rnacentral:rRNA from 1 species
CGCGGCCUAUCAGCUUGUUGGUGAGGUAAUGGCUCACCAAGGCUUCGACGGGUAGCCGGCCUGAGAGGGCGACCGGCCACACUGGGACUGAGAUACGGCCCAGACUCCUGCGGGAGGCAGCAGUGGGGAAUAUUGCACAAUGGGCGCAAGCCUGAUGCAGCAACGCCGCGUGCGGGAUGACGGCCUUCGGGUUGUAAACCGCUUUCAGUAGGGACGAAGCUAACGUGACGGUACCUACAGAAGAAGGACCGGCUAACUACGUGCCAGCAGCCGCGGUGAUACGUAGGGUCCGAGCGUUGUCCGAAAUUAUUGGGCGUAAAGGGCUUGUAGGCGGUCCGUCGCGUCAGGAGUGAAAACUCGGGGCUUAACCCCGAGCCUGCUUUUGAUACGGGCGGACUAGAGGGAUGCAGGGGAGAACGGAAUUCCCGGUGGAGCGGUGGAAUGCGCAGAUAUCAGGAGGAACACCGGUGGCGAAGGCGGUUCUCUGGGCAUCACCUGACGCUGAGAAGCGAAAGCGUGGGGAGCAAACAGGCUUAGAUACCCUGGUAGUCCACGCCGUAAACGGUGGGCACUAGGUGUGGGGGACAUUCCACGUUCUCCGUGCCGAAGCUAACGCAUUAAGUGCCCCGCCUGGGGAGUACGG